rnacentral:lncRNA from 1 species
CUCCCAUGAACAUGGCACAUGCAAAAAAGGACAUUGAAAAAGCAUGCUUUCUUUUGUUUUUAUUUAAUUUUCUCUACAAAAAUGAAGCUUUACUUCGCUUUAAUGGUUACUUAAGGAAGAUUACCAUUUUAAAGAGAAGACAGCUCAGUCAAGCCUCUUUUCUGAAAAGAUGCUUGUUCAGUUGGACUAUGCUAGGAGAAAUGGGUUAGGAUUUGACAGUUACCAUGCUUCCAUUAAAUUUGAUAUUGAAUCAGAUCAUGUACUU